rnacentral:rRNA from 1 species
AGAAUCAACGCUGGCGGCGUGCCUAACACAUGCAAGUCGAACGAGAAAGUGGAGCAAUCCAUGAGUAAAGUGGCGCACGGGUGAGUAACACGUGACUAACCUACCCUUGAGUGGGGGAUAACCUAGAGAAAUCUGGGCUAAUACCGCAUAAUACCUUCGGGUCAAAGGAGCAAUUCGCUUAAGGAGGGGGUCGCGGCCGAUUAGUUAGUUGGCGGGGUAAUGGCCCACCAAGACUAUGAUCGGUAUCCGGCCUGAGAGGGCGCACGGACACACUGGAACUGAAACACGGUCCAGACUCCUACGGGAGGCAGCAGUGGGGAAUUUUGCGCAAUGGGGGAAACCCUGACGCAGCAACGCCGCGUGGAGGAUGAAGUCCCUUGGGACGUAAACUCCUUUCGAUCGGGACGAUUAUGACGGUACCGGAAGAAGAAGCCCGGCUAACUUCGCGCCAGCAGCCGC